rnacentral:tRNA from 1 species
GGGUAGGUGGUAGAGUGGUCAAUUACUGCGGACUGUAAAUCCGCCGCCUUCGGGCUUCGGGGGUUCGAAUCCCUCCCUACCCA